AUUGGAGCUGCAGCUGCUGGCCUGCGCCACAGCCACAGCAACACGGGAUCCUAGCCACAUCUGUGACCUACACCACCAAUCACACAAUGGGGGAUCCUUAACCCACUGAGCAAGGCCAGGGAUCAAACCUGCAUUCUCAUGCAUCCUAGUCAGGUUCAUUAACCACUGAGCCAUGGCAAGAACUCCAGAUUGUAUGCUCUUUUGCUGGCUGAGUCUGUCUUAAUUCUUUUUGAUAGUCCUCACAGGAAAUAAAAACCCAUGAAGCAAUCCUAAGAUUUCUCAAAGGUCCAGACAAAAUUAACCCAGAGAAAUCCUGAAUUCCAUGCCACCACUGAACACAUCUCUCCGACCUCUCACCUGGUAUGUGUCACGAAGCAAUCACAGAGGUUAAAACAUAGUAAAUAUGAUAAAUCAUUAUAGUGAUGGGCUCCAACUGUAUCUGUCUAAUUUACAAACAUUUUUGUAAGCAUUUUACUAUUCGCUCUAUAGGCAUAGCACCCAGGGUUAAAUAAAUAGCAGAUUAAAGAUGUUAAUGAUCAGCAUUUCAACAAGUCACCGUUAGUCCCUUGUUCAGAAUUUAAGCCUCAUCGUUACAUUAUUUCAAAGAGAACAUCAAAUCAUUUUUAUUUUUUUCCAGGAAAGGUUGCCACUUAGGGAGAGGAUUGCACUCAGAUGGGGGAUUCCUGUGUUCUUCUCUAGGGGAGGGUGGGGGAAGGAAAGCUCAUCUCUCCACCUGUGCCCUCAAGGGGCCCUGGUUGUAAAGAUGCCAUUGACAUGCACCUUAGGUGAUUUAUGAGUCUCAGUUGGAGUCAUGGUGACUAAGUGCGUUCCCUGGAGUGUCUACUGCAGCCUUAGACACCAGUGCACGUAAGCCUCUGGCAGGUAAUUAGGGACAACACAACUAGUCUAGGCUCUGGGAUUGUUCUGGUUUCAGCACGCCCAGCAAAUCAAUAUGCAUUAAUCAUUACAUGCUUACUGUGAACAUGAUUCAGCCUCAGUGACUCAUGGGCAUCACACACAAGGCAAUCUGUUGUGACUUGGGUUGGGCCAAAGAGUCCAAGGACUUAAGAAAUGUUUUAUGCCUAAAGGGGCAGAAUAUGCCCGUGCUGAGUGAUGAGAGUACAGUGGUGAGGUAGAGAAUGAAUGCAAACCAAUAAGGAAUUUUGUGCAGCACAUGGAAGCCUCUCUCCUAGCAUUGUCUGCAUGGCUAAGUUAGCACUCAGCAGAGGCUGCUUAGCAUUGUAAUUAUUUGUCAUUUAUAGAUUCCUGAUCCUUCCAACUUUGCUCUGUGCUCCAGAAGGGUAGGGGCCAUAUGGCUCACGUCUGGGUCGCCAGCACCUAACACCCAGGCUCAGGGAGAAGAGCCCCUUGGCUUACAUGGCAGAUGACGGUUGUGUUUUGGUGAUUAUGCUGGGGCUCCUGGCAAAAUCUGUUCUGCUGACCAAAUAAAGGUAGAACUUUUAGAGGUGCUGUCAAGCUUGAUUGCCCAGCGAAACUUCUUUGGCCUGCUAAUCACUGAAAAACAGGCUCUCUCACUCAUAUGAGAUUUCCCCUCCUUCCUGUUCUCAGCUAGAAAUACCAUGAGAACAGACUGUCUCACAGUGUUUUCAGAUUUCCACUUCGAGUCCCUGCCAAAAGCAGGAAGUGCAGAAGUGGGCGAUAAUUCUUUUUUUCUUUUUAGAACACUUUAUUAAAGAGUUUUGGUUGUUACUUGUUUUUCCCCCUGAACCUCAUUAGAAUUAAUUUGAGCAGUACUUCGAAUUUACAUAAUGAUUUUCUUACAAGGCACACAGAGUUUUAUUUAUCAAUGCCCUUUCCUAGUAAGGUAAAGUAGAAAGAGGUACAGAGGUACAGUAUAGUACAGAUUGAGGGCACCUGGAGGAUUUUCUACUCCAGUUUUUUUUUUUAAAAAACUGAUAAGAAAAUUGAGACCUGGAGUUAUUACCUGGGGUAGUUCUUGCUCUGUGCCGGUGCCUACCACUCCAUUCUCUUGCUGUCAUUCCCCUUGCCUCCCUGCCAUGGGAUAACGCAGUUGUUUCUCAUGUCUUACAUCAACCCCACCCAGCCCUCCCACCCAUUCUGCCCACUCUGCUUCCCCACUUCUUACCCAGACGUCAACCCCUUAAUUGGGGGUGGGGGGAAUUGAAAGCAGGUCGCAUCACGAAGAGGGCCAAGAACUACUGUGUCUGAUGAUACACUAUUAAAAAUAGAGAGAAAGGAGGGGGGAACAGGAAGGAGGAAAAAGAGGAGUAAAAUAUGAAAGCAAAAAGCAGGAUAGGGAAGAGAGUACAGCUUCAAAGGGGGCCAAGGACCAUGCUGGCCUCUCCUUUCAACACCUUGCAUCUUCUCAACAUCCCUGCUGAAAAAACUGCCCUGUGGGGGAUGCCAUUUGGUUCCACUUCCUGGAGGUUAUUUACUCCACCCUGCUCUGCUCUAAUGUUAUCCCCGGAUCUGAUGAGCAUAUUGAAGCCUAAAGAGGUAAGUGAGUCUUCAAAUUAAGAGCCAGAGAGGAAGCCAGAAGUAGGCUCAGUAGGUGCUAUGGACUGAAUUAUGUCCCCUGCAAAAUCCACACAUUGGAGCCCCACCCUCAAUGGGACUGUAUUUGGAAACAGGGUUGUUAAGAGGUAAUUAAGGUUAAAUGAGGUCACAGUGAUGGGGCCCUAAUCCAGUAGGACUGGUGGCCUUAUAGAAUGGGCAAGAUUCUCUUUCUCUCUCUCUCUCUUUCUGGGAAUUUACAGGAGAAAGGACAUGUGAGGACGUAAUGAAAAGUUGCCCAUUUACGGUACAAGCCAGGCAGGUGACUCUCACCAGAGAUCAAAUCGUCCAGUACCUUGAUCUUGGACUUCUCAGCUUUCAGAACUAUGAGAAAUAAAUGUCUCUUGUUUGAGACACCCAAUCUGUGGUAUUUUGCUGUGGCAGUCCCAACAGAUGGAUUGUAGGUUAUUGAUAAAAACCAGAUUCUGAAUAUGGCUAUCCAUCCCACACCACCUGGACAUAACUUGUGGGUGUAAUGGUUUCUCAUCAUUAGUCUGCACCUCAAGUGACAGACCUAAAUUGAAUUGUCCUAGGACCAAAACAAGGUGCCAGCAAAGGACAAGGUCACAAAAAGGCUGGCAAUCACUCAUUAAUAGUUCUCAAGACCACGGUCACUACCCCAGAUAAGGGUUAAUUUACACACAAAGCUUUAGUUUCAGGGUGCCAUGAUUGCAUGGGCUCCUUCCUAAGCCCUGAACCAGAGUCUGCAUUUGUGGCUUUUUAAAAUUUUUAAAUUACAGCCUCCAUCCUAAAUUCUGUGUGCCUCAUACCCCCACAUCUCACCCCUGCAUCCAAAAGUAUUUAUUAUGCAGCCCUUAUGCAAAAGCCUUGAGAAUACAGUAGGGACCAAGAUGAGGUCAUCACAGCACAAACGAUUGAGUUUCAGAGUAAAUAGAUGGAUUUAGGGGAAAACAAUCAAAAUAUGUAAUAGUAGAGAUGGGGGAAGAGGAGGAGUUUAUGUCCCUUCACAAGGACUCAUUAGAUGGCAGCCUGGAUCUAGUUUGCUCCUUCCUGGCCCCAAAGGCUCUGACGAUGCACACUUCUCAACUGCAGGACAACAUAUUUAUGAAGAAUCUGCAGUGCUAUGAGCCAGGAAAAGUACCCAGUAUCUGGCAUAUGUCAUCUCAAUCAUUCCUUACGACGUCCAUAUACAAGAAGGCAGUAUUAUCUCCAUUUAGUGACAACACCGAAGCUCCUCGAAGUUGAAGAACCUGCCCCCAUGGUGGAGCUCACUUUUUAAUCAGGCCCACCGGACUCUAAAACUUGCAAAGCUUCCAGUUUGCUAAGCCUUCUACUGAUAGGCAACCCCACCUCCCAACUGAGGCUGGGCUGAGAGUAGGGAGAAGGUGACGAAGAGUGGGGCCAGGGCUAGUCAAGCCUUCCAAAUGAUCACUGCACAAUUCUCCAUGUGGCAUGCUUUUCACAUCACUUUUAACCCAUGAAGGGCCUGACUUUCCAGUCCUGUGCAGGAGGGCAGCACAUGAGCAUAGGCUUCAGGCAUCGCCAUGCCUUUGGGGGCUGAGCUCAGAGAUUUUUCUACACUCUGUAGGGCUUUGAGCUCUGUGUCAUUAGGAAUUUUAAUUCACAAACCCCCUGUCUAUUGAUGCAGACUUUGGACAUCUGAUUCUAUGAGAAAAGAAUUCAAUUUUUUUAAAUGUUGGCACUGAAUUCAUCAUGCUUGACUAUAAAAUCCUUACCCUGCAAAGCCCUUAUGUAAGCUCUUUGGUGGAGGUUUCCCUGAGCAGACAGGGGGAAAAAAGCAUCAGAUGAUGAUAAACCACCCUCUCCUUUGGCUAGGAGUGUGACAAAAAGUACUAGUAUGACAUGGAGUUUUUCUCCUUUUAUCUUCUUAAAAGACCAACCAGAAAUCCAGUGUGAAAAAAGCUAAUGUGAUACUAAGUUUGCAAAUUUCAACUAAGAGUUCUGCAGUCAAGACAUGGAAAAGUUUCCAUAGCAACAUUAGCUCCCAUCUUUAGGAUUUUCAGUCCUAUUAAAGCCAUUAAAAUCAUGCUUUUCUAUAUACAAGGGUAUAUGCAAUGUGGUUGGAUUUAAGGUUGAGGUUUAUUUUCCCUGUUUUAAUUAUGAAUGGUUCCCCGUGUGGCUUUGUGUGCCUGUUCCAUGAGUGGACUUUUUGUAAAUGGAUAGUAUUAAAGCAGGUUGAUGUCUUUUGUUCUUCUCUCAUUUUUUUCCCUCUUAUAUGUUCCAUUCCCUCAAUAUCCUGGGUGCUGAAAGGAGGGAAGAGAGCAGGCCAGACUGCCGUAAAUGACACAGGGGAUCCACCUUGCUAUCGUCAUGGUGCCACCUCCAUGCAUCAUGCAAAGCCAACCUCCUUAGGGAGGAAAGAUGGGGAAGGACAAAGACUAUACAUUCUCCCCAAUGGCCACAGACUGAUCUACUCACGUAGGCUGCCCCCAGAGCGGGCUUCCUUAUCACUUUUAAAAGCUAGAAAGGAAACUGGCUUUGCCCAGAGCCAAGAGUCAGCCAGCCCCAGGAGGUAAAAAAAAAAAAAAAAAAAGUCUUCUCAAACUAAGUCUGAGUAGAGGAUCUGGUAAAAUCCUGCAUCAGCGGAAAGGGUAGUUUAUGCUCCGAAUUUCAUGAGCUAGCCAUAGAAAAUCACACAUGUAAUGAACAUUUCCUUGAAAAAAAAAGCAAAACCUUAAUAAUUGUAGACUCUUGCUUGCAACGUGGAAUGGUGUUUAUUUUUCCAAAAAUGAGUGAAGCAGAUGGGGAUGGUGAGGAUGCCGGAAGAUUCCCGUGAGUUCUAGUAUGAAACAGUGUUGGACAGUUGGGGACAUCUGGAGUGAACAUGGGGGAGGGAAAAGCAAACAUUUCUUCAAUGUACUUUUCAUCUGAAAUAGUAUCACGGUGUCAUAGACAUGCAGAAACCCUGAAUGAAACAGACAAAUGGAUGUGGCAGAAGGCUUAAAGUGAAACCAGCCUGCAAUGAUCAGGGCUAUUUUUAGCUUUCUAAUGAAGAAAGCAGCUGUAUUCAGAAAGGCUGUCCCUGGCUGCUUAUGAGACCAAUUUGUUCUGUUCCAGGGUUCCAGCAUUUAUCACCAAUGAACUUCCCCUGGGAUCCUCAGAAUGGGGCCCCCAGCAGCCAUUACCAUGGAUUUGAGUUGUUGUUGUUGUUGUUUUCCCUAAAGGAAUUUGGAGAGAUUCUUAAGAAUCUUGGUGUAUGGCUCUAUUAGAACCAGAGAAUAAUACGCUAAAUCAUUGCCUGUUCUUUGCUCUCUCGGUGCAAACCUGGUCCCAUCCACAUCAGUUGCAAAGUCUUAGGGCGCAAAGGACAAAAAAUGCCAGCGUACUCUUUCAAUGACCUAAGUGGCUAGUCUCUGUCUCUUUCCUUCUCGUGGCUAAACAAGAGGAGGGAAGACAAUAGACAUUUCUCAGAAACUGAAAGGCAAGCCCUGAAGAUGACCCACUUUUAGAAACAAGAGCCAGAGAGAAAGGGUGAUUUACUGUUGUAUGAAAGGUAUUGAAGAGGUCGAGGUACCCUAAAUGAGAGGAUUAUUAUAUAAUCUGAUAAAGUCCGUUUUCGGUGCCCAUCCUGCCAUCCUCUCUGGGGGCUACCCCAUCCUACGUGCUCAGUUCUCCCUACGUGAUGACAUUUACACAUCAAUUAUACACAGAAUUUUGUCCAACACGUCAGGACCCACAUAUGACCUUCAUUAAACUGCUCUUAUCAGGCAGUAGAGUGUGUCCUCUUAUUUCUAAAUAUUUAAAUUGCUGGCAGAAAUUGCCCAUUAUGUUAGCAAGAACUUGUGAAAAUGUACCAGCCUUGCAAAUGUGGGUUAUAAAUCACACCCGCAGAUCUAAACCCUUCUCUGUCUCAGAAAUGGGCUGGAGAAGGGCAAUCAGGGAGUGGACAGAGAUCCUCCCAUGAGCAGCUUUAAGGGGUGGGUGGAAGCCAUGGUUCCUUAUCCUCUGUACCCAGCGGCAGGCUGUAUGUAUGUAAAGGUACCUAGAUUCAGCCCAUGAGAAACCAACAGUGGUCAUUCAGAAGUGGGUGGGGCUGUGGGAAUCAUCAGCACAUACCCCUAAGUUCAACC
rnacentral:lncRNA from 1 species